UCAACUCAAAUGUUUUUUUUUUUUUGUCUUGAGUAAAAGAGUUGAAUAACUAGACGCACAUAAACAUUUAGCGUUCUCUCUCUUAUGUAGACAUCAUUGGCUGGACUGUUCAUAGAAGAAGUUGAUGGUGCAAAACUCAUUAGAAAGACUCAUUGAAUUAGAAGAACUACUAAAAUGAGAAAUUGAAUAUUACUAUUAGCUUCAUAAAACAGAAGUUGUUUUUUUUUAAUACCUCUGUUAUGUUACUUGUUUACAUCUAUAUAUGUCGCAAAAUAUGUAGGUCAUAGCUGGAGCUGCGUAGCCACGGGAACUACUGCACCCCUAAUUAAUCUUCGAACUCGAAGACAAGCCUUAUUAUUAUUACAGCUCUGGCGUGAUUUUUUUAAUUCUUACUUUGUUUGUCAAAAUAUACUAUGAAAAGCACAUUGUAUUAUGUGUAUAUACUUAAUAGUGUAUUGUGAUCAUAUUGUGAUUGUUCAGCUUAAGUUAAGCUCAUACUGGGCGACUUUGAAUGUUUGAGGUCUGAAACUGGUGCCUUCAGUAUAUAGUUUGAUAAAAUGGCGCCCUUGUUUAUGAAAACCGGUUGUCAGGAUGUGACGUAACAAAAAAGAGCUUUAGUUUCUACUCUUGCUCAUAAUAAAGUCGUCUUUCUAGUGGUUUACUUUGUUGUAUUUCUCUGUAGAUACGAAGCAUACAGGACGUAUAUUUUUUUUCCUGAUUCUGACAUUAAAACCAAAUACCAUUGUAUUAUUUCCAUUACUUCUUUACGCGGCCGAAAUAUCUUUUAGAAUGUUUGAAAUUUAGUUGUUUUUUUUUUGUUUUUUUUUUAAAUUAACAAAAUUUGCUGAGAUGUUUCUAUUAGAUCUUCAUUCUAUCAGCAUUUUACUGAUGAAUGGAAUAUCUUGUGUCUUUGUACGUUACAUUUAAGAGAAUAAAAUUGUAAUUGAAGAUGUUCAGCUUUCAGACACUCGAAUAAUGCAAUUUCUACAGAUGUAAUUUUUUUCUAGCAGAAUCUGCUACCAAUUGUGAUUCUUGUAAUUGAUAAAAAUAAUGAGGUAAAUAAAUGUACCACAUGUGAAAUUAAAAGCUUUUUUAAAGGUUUUCAAAAAAAAAAAAAAAAAAAAAAA